AAAAGUGAAAGACGGUCUUGCUGUCACUUAUAGAUGGAUCCGCGCUGCAUUAGCUAGUUGGUAAGGUAACGGCUUACCAAGGCAACGAUGCAUAGCCGACCUGAGAGGGUGAUCGGCCACACUGGAACUGAGACACGGUCCAGACUCCUACGGGAGGCAGCAGUAGGGAAUCUUCCGCAAUGGGCGAAAGCCUGACGGAGCAACGCCGCGUGAGUGAUGAAGGUCUUCGGAUCGUAAAACUCUGUUAUUAGGGAAGAACAUAUGUGUAAGUAACUGUGCACAUCUUGACGGUACCUAAUCAGAAAGCCACGGCUAACUACGUGCCAGCAGCCGCGGUAAUACGUAGGUGGCAAGCGUUAUCCGGAAUUAUUGGGCGUAAAGCGCGCGUAGGCGGUUUUUUAAGUCUGAUGUGAAAGCCCACGGCUCAACCGUGGAGGGUCAUUGGAAACUGGAAAACUUGAGUGCAGAAGAGGAAAGUGGAAUUCCAUGUGUAGCGGUGAAAUGCGCAGAGAUAUGGAGGAACACCAGUGGCGAAGGCGACUUUCUGGUCUGUAACUGACGCUGAUGUGCGAAAGCGUGGGGAUCAAACAGGAUUAGAUACCCUGGUAGUCCACGCCGUAAACGAUGAGUGCUAAGUGUUAGGGGGUUUCCGCCCCUUA
rnacentral:rRNA from 1 species